AGUGCCCUCCACCCUUCCUGGUGUCUGACCCGCCUCCUUCCCAGGCCUUUUGUUCCUGUCCCGGAAAGCCGGCGUCCUGCCGCGCGAUGCCCCUGCUCGGACUUCUUCCCAGGAGGGCCUGGGCUUCGCUGCUCAGCCAGCUCCUGCGACCUCCCUGCGCUUCGUGCACCGGGGCGGUCCGUUGCCAAAGCCAGGUGAGCGAGACAGAAUUAUCUCUGGUCUGUCCCAGCAGGGUCUCCAGAUCUGAAAGCAUAGCCUCGCGGCCUGUAUUCCAGUAGUGUUACAAUCGGUUUUUAUCGAGUGCCCACUAUGUACUGACACUGAACUAAGCGAUUUGGAUGCCUGGUCAUUUAAUCCUUGGAGCAAUCUUGAGAGGUUGGAGUUUUGAUUUCCAUUCUGCAGUUGAGGAAACGGAGGCUGCAAGAUUAAAUGAAUGACUUAUACAUGGAUAUGUAGUUGCAGAGGCAGUGUUAACAUCCCAACUGAAAGCACAUCAAGAGAAACCAAAUUUUAUUAUCAAGACCCCAAAGGGUACCAGGGAUCUUAGUCCUCAGCAUAUGGUUGUGAGGGAGAAAAUUCUUGA
rnacentral:sRNA from 1 species